UUGAUGUAUUUAGUUAUUAAUUGCUAAUUUAGUGUGACAAGAAUGAGAUACUUUCACAUGAUGUCUUGCUGAUGGAAGUAAUUUUUGUUGAUGCAGUUAG
ensembl:miRNA gga-mir-1681 gga-mir-1681